rnacentral:rRNA from 1 species
CAAUCGGCAGCUUACCAUGCAGUCGAGCGCCCCGCAAGGGGAGCGGCAGACGGGUGAGUAACGCGUGGGAAUCUACCUUUUGCUACGGAAUAACGCAGGGAAACUUGUGCUAAUACCGUAUGUGCCCUUUGGGGGAAAGAUUUAUCGGCAAAGGAUGAGCCCGCGUUGGAUUAGCUAGUUGGUGGGGUAAAGGCCUACCAAGGCGACGAUCCAUAGCUGGUCUGAGAGGAUGAUCAGCCACAUUGGGACUGAGACACGGCCCAAACUCCUACGGGAGGCAGCAGUGGGGAAUAUUGGACAAUGGGCGCAAGCCUGAUCCAGCCAUGCCGCGUGAGUGAUGAAGGCCUUAGGGUUGUAAAGCUCUUUCACCGGUGAAGAUAAUGACGGUAACCGGAGAAGAAGCCCCGGCUAACUUCGUGCCAGCAGCCGCGGUAAUACGAAGGGGGCUAGCGUUGUUCGGAUUUACUGGGCGUAAAGCGCACGUAGGCGGAUCGAUCAGUCAGGGGUGAAAUCCCAGGGCUCAACCCUGGAACUGCCUUUGAUACUGUCGAUCUGGAGUAUGGAAGAGGUGAGUGGAAUUCCGAGUGUAGAGGUGAAAUUCGUAGAUGUUCGGAGGAACACCACUGGCGAAAGCGGCUCACUGGUCCAUUACUGACGCUGAGGUGCGAAGGCGUGCGGGAGCAAACAGGAUUAGAUACCCUCCGUAGUCCUCGCCCUACACGAUGAAUGUAAGGCGUCGGGCAGGAUACUGUUCGGUGGGGGGAUCUCACGCAAUAUACAAUACUUUCUGCGGAGUACGGUCGCA